rnacentral:rRNA from 1 species
GAUGAACGCUAGCUACAGGCUUAACACAUGCAAGUCGAGGGGCAGCAUGACGAUAGCUUGCUAUUGUUGAUGGCGACCGGCGCACGGGUGAGUAACGCGUAUCCAACCUGCCCUUGUCCACCGGAUAACCCGUCGAAAGGCGGACUAACACGGUAUGAAGUCCACAGCAGACAUCUAACGUGGACGAAAUGUGAAGGAGAAGGAUGGGGAUGCGUCUGAUUAGCUUGUUGGCGGGGUAGCGGCCCACCAAGGCGACGAUCAGUAGGGGUUUUGAGAGGAAGGUCCCCCACAUUGGAACUGAGACACGGUCCAAACUCCUACGGGAGGCAGCAGUGAGGAAUAUUGGUCAAUGGGCGAGAGCCUGAACCAGCCAAGUAGCGUGCAGGAAGACGGCCCUAUGGGUUGUAAAAUGCUUUUAUACGGGGAUAAAGUGAGUCACGUGUGGCUUAUUGCAGGUACCGUAUGAAUAAGGACCGGCUAAUUCCGUGCCAGCAGCCGCCGUAAAAC